UCAGUUGGCCGGGUGGCCGCUCGCUCCGAAGCCGCAAGGCGGGUCCGAAAGGUUGAACGAGAGGAAAGUCCGGGCUCCAUGGAAACACGGCGCCGAAUAACGUUCGGCGAAGAAGCAUCUCAGGAUGCUUUUUCAGGGAAAGUGCAGCAGAGAGGAUACCGCCUGUGCCGCGCAAGCGGCCGGGUAAGGGUGAAAGGGUGGGGUAAGAGCCCACCGCGCUUUUGGCGACAAAGGCGGCAUGGCAAACCCCGCCGGGAGCAAGACCGAAUAGGGACAGCGCGUCUGUCGGGGUUUAUGCCCCGUCAAGACAGACAGGGUCGUUUCCAGCCCAGUUGUCCGGGUGGGUUGCGUGAGCGUGCUUGCAAGAGCGCGCCAAGAUGAAUGGCUACCACGCAGGGGCGGUCAAACGCCCGUGCCAUACAGAACCCGGCUUACAGGCCAACUGACAUC
rnacentral:RNase_P_RNA from 1 species